rnacentral:tRNA from 1 species
GGGGAUUUAGCUCAGUGGUAGAGCCCUUGCCUAGCAAGCACAAGGCCCUGGGUUCGGUUCCCAGCUCCG